CAACUGCGAAGGCAGCUUUCUGGAUCAUUACUGACACUGAGGAACGAAAGCAUGGGUAGCGAAGAGGAUUAGAUACCCUCGUAGUCCAUGCCGUAAACGAUGUGUGUUAGACGUUGGAAAUUUAUUUUCAGUGUCGCAGGGAAACCGAUAAACACACCGCCUGGGGAGUACGACCGCAAGGUUAAAACUCAAAUGAAUUGACGGGGACCCGCACAAGUAGUGGAGCAUGUGGUUUAAUUCGAAGAUACGCGCAGAACCUUACCAACACUUGACAUGUUCGUCGCGACUCUAAGAGAUUAGAGUUUUCGGUUCGGCCGGACGAAACACAGGUGCUGCAUGGCUGUCGUCAGCUCGUGUCGUGAGAUGUUGGGUUAAGUCCCGCAACGAGCGCAACCCUCACUUUUAGUUGCCAUCAUUAAGUUGGGCACUCUGAAAGAACUGCCAGUGAUAAGCUGGAGGAAGGUGGGGAUGACGUCAAGUCCUCAUGGCCCUUACGUGUUGGGCUACACACGUGCUACAAUGGCAUCUACAACAGGAAGCAAAACGGCAACGUUAAGCAAAUCCCGAAAAGAUGCCUCAGUUCGGAUUGCACUCUGCAACUCGAGUGCAUGAAGCUGGAAUUACUAGUAAUCGUGGAUCAGCGUGCCACGGUGAAUGCGUUCCCGGGUCUUGUACACACCGCCCGUCACACCAUGGGAGUUGGUUCUACCUUAAGGCAAGGUUUCAAACCCUUGACCACGGUAUAGUCAGCGACUGGGGUGAAGUCGUAACAAGGUAGCCGUA
rnacentral:rRNA from 1 species